GGCAAGAUGGCCGAGCGGUCUAAGGCGCUAGCUUCAGGUGCUAGUGUAGUAAUACGCGUGGGUUCGAAUCCCACUCUUGUCA